AUGUGAUGUGUGUGUGUGUCUCUGCGCCGCUGGCUCGUGUCUCAGUCAGACCGAUCUGUGUGAGGAUGUGCUGUGGCUCUCUGUGUGCGCUCUGCUCGGAUCAUGCGGGACACCGACCAGAGGAGCUGCUGCCCCUCACAAACGUGUGGAAUAAGAGCGCUUUCCAGGUGAAGCACUGACAGCAGAAACAGAAACAAAUGCACCGGCAACGUUACUUCUCACGCGCUGGAUUACCGUGUAACGUCUCAGUGACCGCGGAGUAACGCUGACGUUACUUCAUUACAGCUGAACUGGGUCCACCCUGACUUCACAUUGCACUUCCUAGAGAAAGGAAAAGCCCUGAUGUGCUUGUCACCCGAGCUGACGGCUGGGGCUGCGAGAUGGAGGCCGAAUGUCUUCACUCGGUCCCUCUUCAGACACUCAAAGGCUGCUCUGUUUCAGCCUGAUGACGAGCCGAUUGGAUAUAAUCUUAAGCGGGGGACUCAGGAGAUGGGGAGGCAUAGGGAAACCCUACAGUAGGCUUUGCAGGGAAGGAAUGUCUUUCUCCAGAUGUAGGAAACGAGCAUUGGAGGGUUCCUGCUGCCAGGCAGCCCGCUCCUCCUGUUAUAACAUGGGACCAAAUUCAAACCAUGUGUCCUCACACCCGGUUAGCUGCUUUUGCCCACCUCUAGCGUUAGCAGUCUGGACGGAUCCAUUUCACUGCCCCACUCCAGUGCAACAUUCUCAUUCUCCCAGCCCCAAAUGAGCCUCUCUGUGGGACUCCUGGCUUAAUAGGCUGGAACUUUCCCAUGUCCGGUCUCCUAAGGUGGCUGUUAUCCUCCAAGGGCCCCUGUGCGAGUUUCAAGCUCAAGCUCAUGUUAUGGGGUGAGUACAGUAGUCCUCCUCAAGGGUCAAAGGUCACUUCAUUUUCAGAUCUCUGCUUAAACAUGUGUUAAAUAUGUGAAAGGACUGGAUGUGUUUUUUGGAAUAUCUUUUUGUUUAAAUAUGCAGGACUGAUGUGCCAUUUGGUUGGGAGGGGGAAAUAUUUGCUGCAAUGCUGAUCUGUCAUCGCUUAAAAUGUGUAUAUUUAUGUAUUAUUUAAGAGAAAAAAGGGAGGGAAGAAGCUGGGGGACUUAGCUUGCUCAGAUGACCAUUCUGAGACCUGUUUAAUAGACAGCUUUCAAUCUCCGCAGAAUAUGGCUAAGCACCUUGGACAGCGUAAAGACCUGCCCUUGAUAGCAGAGCCAUAUGUGGGCAGGGUUCCUCAAAUCUGGCCCUGCAGAGUUUAGCUCCAGUCCUAACCAAACACAAUCAAGGUCUUUAGAGUUAGAGAGAAAAAUACAGGUAUGUAACAGGUACAACCUGCUAUAAAGGAAGGACUAGACAGAACUUCAACAGGAAAGACUAGUACAAUAAGAACAUGUCAAGAAGUUUUCUCACUCUUACUGCUGUAGAUGAACUGGGCUUUUCUAUGACUCAGUGCUGCAAAGGUCCAGCAGUCUCAUUACCUUGUGUUGAAUGGACGGACAAGAGUGGACAGCAUGUUGAACUUGGUUCAUGAAAGCAAAUUAUGUUUUUGUUCCUGUUUAACGCAAGGUUGUGUUAGCUACUUGCAUACUUUAUGAUAGCUUUUUGUGUUUCAAGGGAGGGCAAUGGGUGGUUUGAGAGCCCAGGCCCUUUCUGGUGCAAGGUCAAAACAGGUCACCGCUAAUGCUCAAAGCAGUUUUUUGACUCCAAAAACACACAUGCAUACAAUUCAAUCUAGUAUCUAAUAUCACAAGGACAAUAGUUUUGUCCCCAAAGUUAAAAAAAAGUUUCUUUUAUCUCAAAUAACAUUUCAUAGUGAUGAAUGUGAGGGAUUAGCAUUAGCAAAAGUUAAUUCCAACCACAGGAGGAACACUGAGAGGUUACUGCCUACUGCUGCUCCUAGAUCUCUCCAUGCAUCGAAAUCGUUAAAUUACGACAGAGCCAAAAAUAAAACCCAUUGAAUUAGGGUGAAAGCAGUGAGUGAUUAGUAUGUGCGAAGUCUUUGUGUAAAUGCCAGUCAUCUGUCCUGGCACAGUUUCUCUGAGAGACAUGCUGCUGCAUUGAAAUGUUUAAAACCAGUCUGACCUGUGGCCUCUCUUUCUCCAUUUCACUUCCUCUUGUCUUCAGCAGAACAUGUGGAGUUGUUGCAGUGAUGCACGUGUUGUUAUUGGAGUCGGUGUGCUUGUGAUCAUGUCUUUCUUCCUGACAGGAUCCACGUCAUUGUGUCCGCUCAGCACGAUGAGCGCCGUCUCUGCUCUCGUUAGCAGAUCAGGCGUCUUGUUCACACACAGAUGUGUCUCAUAGCUUUACGUUGAGUGUGUGUGUGUUGUUGGGAGGCUUUUAAUGGAGACACUCUGAGUAAAUGUGCAGGGAUUGUGUGUGAAGACAGGGCUGCUUUUAUCUGGCAUAAAGGGAGGGAGAAGCUGUGGCGUACCGGUGCUGUGUUUGAUCAUGCCUAACCCCCUCCGCAUCCCAGCGCUCCUCUGAUCCCUCAGCUCGGCAUUCCUCUCGUAACAGUCAGCCUCCUUUACCGCGGUGAGAGAUGUGGUAUGUUUCUGCAUGGAUUACUGUACUCAUUUCUGUAUGGGAAAGACAGAAACAGCCAGGCCAUUGUACAUGGAGAGCGCUUCUGCCCUAAAGGCUUUUCCUUACCUGUCACAAAAAUCCCCAGGUGCCGGGUGGAUGCAUAUAAAGUGAUAUCAGCUCUUUUCCAGACGAGAGGUGCCUACCUAGGUAACAUUUUAUGCCCGGAGGCCUUUUCGAACAGUAGGCAGCAAAAUGAUGCUACAUUAGAAGUAACAUGUCUUUACCAUGAUACCUUUUUUUUUAUAUGGUAUGGUGCCAUAAUUACAUUGUGUGAUGUCUUUAAAGUGGUAUGUCUAGUCAUCUGACACAAUCACUGUACCAUGGUCCCACCACAGUAUUUUUGGUGGUUUGAUUGCACAACCAC
ensembl:lncRNA